ensembl:lncRNA
AAACAGAUUAAACAUUGACAACAUAUUGUGCAAGAUAGGAAAUAUGUUCCGCUGAUAGGUUAUGAAUGUUUAUACCUCUGGGUGAGAGGGCUUAGGUGUGUCUGAGAGAUUAGUUUAUAGGACUGACAUAACAAACUGAUUCAGAAAGGACAAGUAUCUAAAAGAUCUUCAUUGAGGAUUCAUCAUUUAUAUCUUCGUUGAUUAAUUUUAGUCAGUUAUUCUCUGCUAAAUAAAAUCUGUUUAAAAAAAAACCUUCACAGUUGAUCAAAAUGGUUCCGAUUACAAAGACACUGGUCUUUCUCUGCAUGCUGAUUGGAUGGUCACAGGCUUUUUCGCAUCAUGAUGCCUUCAGAGAAAAUGAUGCAAUCCAAGAUGCUGACAAAAUAGAGAGAGAAAGACGAGAUCUGGCUAUGGAGAUGGCUCAGGAAUCGAUCACAUCAAAGUUUUUGCCAGUGGCCUCCAGUGUUUAAGCAAGACAACACAAGCUUAUGGUCUAGAAGAAGAUGGCUACAAAGCGACCUAUCUGUAUUAUUCCAGCAACUGCUGCUAUGAAGAUGUGGAGGUUCUUGUGGUGGACAAGGCAGGACACACAAGCAAGUGUCCCGUUGCUCUAAAACGUAAUACGACGACAUUCAAGCCAAUGACUGUCAAGACUGUCAAACCCACAUCCAGUAGCUCCAUCACAACCAUCUCUCUUUGGUCAAGUUUAAUACUGAUGGCACUUAAAUCUAUGCUUCUCUAAGAUGGAUGUGCACUUUAUGUACACUCACUUCCCAUGUAAUUUAAAAUGUAGGCUACAAUAAAAAUGUGCAAUAAUUAAUAAUUGGAAUAUAUUUAAAGCAUUUGAUGUCAGUAUCAAGUCAGUGCUUUGGUGGGGUAGACUGAGUACAUUUGGGACAUGUGUACAGUUGAAACACCUUAAAUAACUUGCGUGCAAAGGAACCCUGAGCCGUGAUUUUUGCACCACACAUGCGUAUUAGCAUUCUCUCUGAUCAUGGAAAAUUUGAAAGGUGUGUGUCUUUCCACUCCAAAGAUAUCGGCAAAAGUUUUUUUUACAAGGUAAGAUUUUCAUUUCACCAUGUCCCUUCCACAAUGAAUAGCUUAUUAUCCUUUUAUGACUGUUAAACUUCACAUAUAUCAUUGCAAACGUUACUCUGUGCUCUAAAAAUAGACAUAUUUUAUGAUAUUGUGUCAUGGAAGGUCUUUGCAUAAUCUAGAGAAACAUGCGAGUAUGUCAGUGGGGUACGGUUGAGACACAGUGUAUCAACUGUACCCAGACAGGUGUCCUAUUGCGUCACAUGCUGUUUAGCUGUACAGUGUUAUGAUAAUAGGUUAAAAGUCACAUUUACACACAUGCAACGCAAAUUAUGUUUAAAAAAUGAUAUUUGUAAUAUUUCAACUGUCUAUUAUUAAUGGACAUAUUCUCUAACAUGAAUGUUAAAAGGAUAACAUAGCAUUUUGUGAAAUAUACAAGACUGUAAAGUGGGUACAGUUGACACAACCUUUAUAUCCUAUGUAUGCAGUAACAGUUCCAUCAGAAAAUAAAAUUU